AGCAGAAGCGUUCUUCAUUGCAAGCAUAAUCAAUUUAUCAUGAAUAAUAUGCAACUAAAAACAAGCAACCUAACGGCACGUUAUGUGAUCUGGAUCGAGUUUCCAUCCAUUGGCACACAUGAGCCGGCGUCGCCAACGUUUUGGUUUCCGCGUGGGUUCGCGAAGCCAAUCAGAAGUGCAAAAGAAAGACAGUUGAGCUGAGAUCGUCCUAAAUGACUCGCCACGUCGAUUUACAGUGCGCGCCUCUCUCACCGAGUCUGGGGAAGAAAAAAAAAAAUCCCUGCAACCCCCCCAUCCCACACACACACACACACACUUGGCCUACUCGUUGACAAGACCGAUGCGUGCGCUUUGCGUGUGUCCUCAGAUGUGCGUCCAACUAAUGCGGAUGUUCAGUCAGUGGCAGCAGGGGGCGCUGCAGCAACUGUCGCACUCGAUCCACCUGCUGACACAGAAGCAGGCGCCCAGGGCAAAGGUCACGGCGCCGCCCGGGCAGUCAGACUCGGACAGCGAUGGCCCAACUCAGGAGAUGGAGAUGGAGAUUGAGUGUGCGUCAGCCAAUACAACACAUCCUCCUCCUCAUGAUGACGAAGAUGGAUGGACUCUGGUUGGAAAGAGGAAGUAACAGAGAUGAACUUUGACCUGUGCUUUUCUGAACUUUGAGGACUUGGCAGCGCACGUUGAGGUGUGAUGUCAUCAUGAGCGGUCACAUGACUUUAUAGGCUACAUUCACACUGCAGCUACUCAAUUCAAGUGUCUUCGUCCAAUCCAAUGUUUUGCUGUACUUGUUGACAUUGCAAAAGCGUCUUGACGUGAGAACGGCACGCCUCGGCGAAGUGAGCCGCCUCCGCACGGACGCGGCGUGGGAUGACGUGACCUCACGUUAGCGCCAGCGCGGGAGAUAAGGUCCUGCUUGUUGGGGCUCAUCUCAGACUGACGGAGGAGCCGGGCGGGAGGAGCUUGAAAUAUUUUGCCGACGUGAGAUGAAGCAUCUCGAUGUCACUUUGCUCCAAAUGACUUUGCGGCAUUGCCGGGCCUAAGGAAGGAAGGAAGGAAGCGUUUGCGUGGCUAAAUUAUCGCCACAAAUGUCCACUUUAUGCGUCGCGUUUCAAGCGCCGAGUCAAAUAUCGAAAGAGCGCAGUGACACUCUUGACUUCUUUGCAAUGCGCGGAGCAUUGUGAGUCAUCUCCCAAGGACCGGAGCGCACAUUUGGCCAUUGAUGAUGUAUUUUGCGGUUGAGCGUAACCUAAGAUUCGUGGCCGCAAGGGUUGGAUUCGAGAGGAUUGGAAUUCUACUGUUCACAUUGCAGGGAAAAGGAAAAAAAAAUACAUACAUGUGACAUACGGGCAAGUUAAAAAAAUAAAAAAUA